UGGGUAUUUAGAAUAGCAAAUGAAAUAAGAGUACUUAUUAGUCCUCUUUUCUGCUUUUUGUUCCCCUACCAAAAGUCUCCAACAAUGGCCGAGGCCCCUUCAGUCCCUGCACCAACCGGGUCGGAUCCUGAUUACUGGUGCUACCAGUGUGAGACACGAGUUGCCGUCGAAACCCUACCCGAUCUCCCCGCCGAUGUCAUUUGUAACAACUGUAAGAGUGGCUUCGUCGAGUCCAUACCCUCACGUGUUGUAUCUGUCUCACCGGUGACGGCGUCUACUGAUCAGAUCGAUGACCCUGCUUUCGGCAAUCAGUUCAUCCAGGUUCUCCGCCUCAUAGCUGAGGCGGCGCUUGACAACGACGCGCCCCCUCCCCCGCCUUCUGAGCACGCUGAUCCUUCCGAUGACGAUUUCCUCCGUGUCGAGCUGGACGGUUGGGGAAACGACGAAGAGGAGGAGGAGGAUGAUGAUGAAGAGGAGGAGGAGGAGGAUGAUAAUGGAAUCGGGGUUAGAAUUGGCGAUGACAGAGAAAAUCGCGGGAAUCGAAGCCAAUCUGAGGAUGACGAUGAUGAUGAUGUUGAUGAUGA
rnacentral:misc_RNA from 1 species